AGCAGCCGCGCCAGCCUCAUGCCGAGUCCCGCUAGAGAAGCCACAGCCAGUACGCCAGGUUUCCCCGCGCCUCUGCCGAGUGGGUUGAAGGCAAAUACUUGAAGUUGCAAUCGAAGGUCAAGAAAAUGGAAUCAAGAGGUCACAAUCCUUCUCUGAUGAUGGCUUAGAAAGCUGGAAGACACUCAACAUUGAAUCCUGGGGCUCUGUGCCAUGCUUGCUAGGAGAAACAGCCACCAUGAGUCCAUCUUUCAGAUCUCAAGUGAACAGUCAUUCUCCAGCUGGGAUUGAGAACAAGGGGAAGCUGGCCAUAGAGCCAGGUGACCAAAGAUGGAAGACAAAGGGUGGGCUGUGAUUCCCAGAGCUCCAAGCCUUGUUCUGUCUUGUCACACCAACUGUUACUGAUGAACAGCAUGUGAGAACUUUUGGCUGAUGAAUACAAGAUACGCUCAUUCAUUCUCUUCAUUGCUAUGAAAUGAGUUUUUCCACAACCUCCUGCAGAACCUCAACACAUCACUAGGUGGCAACAUCCCUACACCAUAUCGGUUUAGAAACCACGGUUAGGAGGAGCAGCAAAACACGCGGCAUCCCAGUAUGAUUCAGAAGUAAAUACAGGCAAGCUGCCGGAGUGAACGCUGAGUGAGGGAAAGGAACGCACCAUCGUUAUCAAACUCGAUCCGCGUGCAUGGCCCCCGGGCGGUGAUGUCGCAGCUG
rnacentral:lncRNA from 1 species